CAGAUACACGAAUAGGAAUAACAUCGUGUUCUCCAUUUCGAGCAAAAUUAAGUAAACCGGGACUAAGGCUAAGUGCCUUCGCCAUCAAAAUAUGAUAAGUUCGACCUCGUCCGAACUGGGACUCAGGCUAUGUGCCUUCGCCAUCAAAAUUUGAUAAGUUCGACCUCGUUCGAGCUGGGACUCGGGCUAUGUGCCUUCGCCAUCAAAAUUGGAUAAGUUCGACCUCGUUCGAGCUGAGACUCAGGCUAAGUGCCUUCGCCAUCAAAA
rnacentral:lncRNA from 1 species